UACGUAGGGUGCGAGCGUUGUCCGGAAUUAUUGGGCGUAAAGAGCUCGUAGGCGGCCUGUCGCGUCGGUUGUGAAAGCCCGGGGCUUAACCCCGGGUCUGCAGUCGAUACGGGCAGGCUAGAGUUCGGUAGGGGAGAUCGGAAUUCCUGGUGUAGCGGUGAAAUGCGCAGAUAUCGCUUGGAACGCCGAAGGUGAAAACAGGUUGCUGGGGUUGUGCCGACGCUGAGACACGAAAGCCAGGGGAGCAAACGGG
rnacentral:rRNA from 1 species